rnacentral:lncRNA from 1 species
GUUUUUCCUUGCUCGUGAGGGAGAUUAUAGAUAGAACUUUAAAAAAGACUGUGUUGGUAUGAACUGGCAGGGAGAGCUGUUACAAUCAUUAGGUUCAGAGCUGCUGGAGGAGUCAUCAACAAGUGGUUGCCCCAGCACCAGUCAAGCAGGACAGAAAAUAAAAGAGUGGGAUGCUGAAGCAAAGCAGCAGUGCAUCUGGUACCAAGGAGAAAGGGCACAUGGUUUUAAUUAUAAUUUUUCAACUAUGAAUCUUUCAGCACUAAUGGAUGGCUGGUCAUACUGGAGAGCAGUUAUGGCAAACAGAAAUCCUUUCUUCAUGAAACGCGGCAGGUUGUCAUAGACCAACGAAACCAAGCAGUGUUGACUUCUUUUCACUGUCAAAUUAGCACCGUCUGAGGAAAGUGAAAAGUUACAGUUUGAAAAAUCUGAAGAGGAGUCUUCCCAAAUGCUGAGAUUUGCCUGGAGGAAGGAGAAAAGGAACCAUUGUCAAAUUCUGGACUGGAGUGAACUGUAAUGCUGAAGUUGUGGCUGAAAAACAGAGAACAACUGAAGCUGUCCCCCUUGCUUCACACAGGAGCACAGCAGCUCCAGGCGUGGGGGCAGAUGACCUAUCUCAAAGACCUUCUACCUCACAUCACGUCAGGAACCAGUCUUUAAUGGUGAUAGAGAAAGAACUGCAUGAGCCUAUUCACUGUACUUACUGCCAGGCACUGCAGAAGCUCAGGGAUGCAGAGACACCUCGUUGGGCUUGGUUCAAUCAUGGGAGAAGUGGAGCUCCUGUCACCAGUCCCUGC